UCCACGUCUUACACUAAUUUU
rnacentral:piRNA from 1 species